rnacentral:tRNA from 1 species
UCUCAGGUGGCUCAGCGGUAAAGAAUCAGCCUGCAGUGCAGGAGACACAGGUUCGAUUCCUGUAUUGGGAA